rnacentral:rRNA from 1 species
UACGAAGGGGGCUAGCGUUGCUCGGAAUCACUGGGCGUAAAGCGCACGUAGGCGGACUCUUAAGUCGGUGGUGAAAUCCUGGAGCUCAACUCCAGAACUGCCUUCGAUACUGAGAGUCUUGAGUCCGGGAGAGGUGAGUGGAACUGCGAGUGUAGAGGUGAAAUUCGUAGAUAUUCGCAAGAACACCAGUGGCGAAGGCGGCUCACUGGUCCGGUACUGACGCUGAGGUGCGAAAGCGUGGGGAGCAAAGCAGG